CCUGGGAGGCAGCAGUAAGGAAUAUUGGACAAUGCUCGCAAGAGUGAUCCAGCCAUGCCGCGUGCAGGAAGAAUGCCCUAUGGGUAGUAAACUGCUUUUGAACUAGAGAAAAUCCCAGUACGUGUACUGGGCUGAUAGUAUAGUUAGAAUAAGCAUCGGCUAACUUCGUGCCAGCAGCCGCGGUAAGACGAAGGAUGCAAGCGUUAUCCGGAUUCAUUGGGUUUAAAGGGAGCGUAGGUGGACUGAUAAGUCAGUGGUGAAAUCUCCGAGCUUAACUCGGAAAUUGCCAUUGAUACUGUUGGUCUUGAGUACAGUUGCUGUGGGCGGAAUAUGACAUGUAGUGGUGAAAUACAUAGAGAUGUCAUAGAACACCGAUUGCGAAGGCAGCUCACAAAGCUGUAACUGACACUGAGGCUCGAAAGUGCGGGGAUCAAACAGGAUUAGAUACCCUGGUAGUCCGCACCGUAAACCGAUGAUUACUCGCUGCUAGGGGGCAACCUUUAGUGGCUUAGNGAGNGANAGANCACGNGGAGACGCGCGACGAGACGANANAGAGUUAGAGNGNGAGAGNGCGACGGACGACGACGAGGGAGAGG
rnacentral:rRNA from 1 species